rnacentral:rRNA from 1 species
GGGCCCGCACAAGCAGCGGAGCGUGUGGUUUAAUUCGAUGCAACACGAAAAACCUCACCAGGGUUUGACAUGUCGGAAGUAGCGAAUCGAAAGAUGAACAAACUGUUAAGCCAGUAGCCGUCACAGGUGCUGCAUGGCUGUCGUCAGCUCGUGCCGUGAGGUGUAUGGUUAAGUCCUGCAACGAGCGCAACCCUCGUGGUUAGUUGUUUUCUCUAACUAGACCGCCCCGCAAAACGGGGAGGAAGGUGGGGAUGACGUCAAGUCAGCAUGGCCUUUAUACCCUGGGCUACACACACGCUACAAUGGGUGGUACAAUGGGUAGCAACAACGCGAGUUGAAGCCAAUCCCUUAAAACCAUCCUCAGUACAGAUUGCAGGCUGAAACUCGCCUGCAUGAAGUCGGAGUUGCUAGUAAACGCAAAUCAGCAUGUUGCGUUGAAUACGUUCUCGGGCCUU